rnacentral:tRNA from 1 species
UCUAUCAUGGCAGAAUUUAAUGCAAUGAACUUAAAAUUCAUUUAUAAAGAAUAAUCUUUUUUUAGAA